rnacentral:rRNA from 1 species
UACGGGGGGGGCAAGCGUUGUUCGGAAUUACUGGGCGUAAAGGGCUCGUAGGCGGCCAACUAAGUCAGACGUGAAAUCCCUCGGCUUAACCGGGGAACUGCGUCUGAUACUGGAUGGCUUGAGUUUGGGAGAGGGAUGCGGAAUUCCUGGUGUAGCGGUGAAAUGCGUAGAUAUCAGGAGGAACACCGGUGGCGAAGGCGGUUCUCUGGGCAUGUCCUGACGCUGAGGAGCGAAAGUGUGGGGAGCGAACAGG